UACGAAGGGGGCUAGCGUUGCUCGGAAUCACUGGGCGUAAAGCGCGCGUAGGUGGCUUCGUAAGUCCGUUGUGAAAGUCAAAGGCUCAACCUUUGAAUGCCGAUGGAUACUGCGAAGCUAGAGUACGGAAGAGGCGAGUGGAAUUCCUGGUGUAGCGGUGGAAUGCGCAGAUAUCAGGAGGAACACCAAUAGCGAAGGCAGCUCGCUGGGACGGUACUGACGCUAAGGCGCGAAAGCGUGGGGAGCGAACAGG
rnacentral:rRNA from 1 species